rnacentral:miRNA from 1 species
UAGCACUCGACAUGUGACCUGU